CCACUGACAUCAUACACUAAAUAUAGAGCAGCUCCUGCUUUAGGUGAAUAAAUAAUGCAGAUGCAAAAGCCCAGGUCUUCAGUUACACAUUCAUUACCAUCUGUCUGUCAGGUUCUCAUCAUCAGGAGAACAACGUCCGACUCCAGCAAGGAGUGACAGGUGAAGAAUGCAAAACAACUGUAGACAAUAGAUCAAAGGCACUGAGCAGGAGGAUGCAUCCCAACCCAUCCUUACUGGGGGAGAAUGGAGACAGGAGAGCAGGAAACAAGAAGACAAUGCGCCAUCAAAGCUGCCAAGGUGUUGGAUCAAUGACAACAUCUGCAUGAGGGUCUGGACUACAAUAGAAGCUGUUACCAUGGGAACAGGCAAAAAAGCAUCAGGCGGGAAGGAGCAGGCGAUGAUGAAAGAGGGAGAAGAUGAACGUUACCCAACACAGUGUAGCUCAGACUGCCAAGGGUCCCAUAGGGCACAUCUACGAAGCAGGACUAGAAAAGGUGCUGUUGAUGCCCUAAAUAUCCCAUUUUAUAAAAGGCAUGACCUCUCUGCAAAAAUCAAGGACCAUUUUAGGACAACAUACAACUUGGGACAAGGAGUCAUUCUGGACAUGUGUGGAAUUCACCAGACACAUUUUGGGCACUGCCCCAACCUGAAUCACAGCAGUCGUGGACAUGUAUGGCUCGAGGGACCUCCAGAGAUCGUCCAGCCCCUCUUCCCCUCCCCUUCCUUCUCUUCCUGUCUAAUAUCCCUGACUGAUAUUUGUUUAACCUUUUUAAAAUAUCUUUGGUGACAGGGACAGCACUCUGCCAGGGCUCACCUCUCCUGCUGGUUACAGCAUGUUUUUCCUUUAGCUCCAUCCCAGUUCACUGCCACUGAGAAACAGCUCACUUUCUUCUCUGCCUACCUAAAGACUAGGUGGUCUAAUGGCCAUCCUUACAUAUUUGACACAUUGCCAUGUCUGCCCUCAUCCUCCGCUCUUCCAGCCUGGACAAACCAAUUCUUUCAACCUUUCCAUGUAAGCUGUGUCUUCCAGGAUACCACCAUGCCCUGCUCUCCUCCAUGCUUGCCUGCAUCAUCCCAGGAGCAGCAGGAUGCUGUCCUCUGCCUGUCUCAGCCCUGAGGGGAAGGAAUGGUGAUUUCCCCAGUCUCACAUCUGGCAUGACCACUGGCACCUCCUGGUCAGCCUGUUCCCUGUCCUGGACCACUGGCAGCUGCCUUGCUGCUUGCCUGGACCUCCCCUUCUCUACUGCUGCCAGCCUGGCCCUUCCCCAUGGCAUUGUUACCCACCUGAGCCCCCCUUCUAAGUGUGUGCUGUGCACUCCCCUGUAUUGAAUUUCAUUUUAUUGAUCCCAGAAGAUUUCUCGCAUUUGUCAAGACCACUUUGAUUUCUAGCCCUCCAAAGUCCUUGCAAAGUGUGCUUCCCCACCUGGAGGUACCCACAGAAUUUAAAGUGUGUUUUCUAUCCCAUUACCCUCCUCAUUAAUGAUACAAAUAACAGCAGCACAAUCCAGCACCGUCUGCUUGCUGGCUGCUCUCCCCUCCCUCUGACCUCUCCCAGUACUGGGGCAGUGAGCCCCCUCACCUGUGAAAUGCAGGAGGGACACGGGCUUGCCACGGUGACAGCAGCCCCCUAAAGACAGGGGUUAAAGUGCAUCAUCCCACACUCAGCAGCUUGCUGCUGCCAGCAUCGGGCAUUAGAGCCUCGCAUCUGAUGUAGGCACACCUCCACCCGAAGUUAAAAAGCUGCUCCUGUGCAUGUGUGCAUGUGUGUGGGGGGGUGUUGAACCUCAAGCUUGUAACCAGAAGACAAGCCGGGUUUGGGUUUGGCUUGGCAGGACCGCUGAAGCUCAAGCUACCAGAAACGUUUACUGAGCGAGUUUGUGCAGUUUCAGCUCAGGCUUGCCAGGGACCCAGCUGAACAAUUAAAGGAAAUAUCAGUUCAGUUGCAGGUUGUAGCACACACAUAGCCCUGCCUUCAAUGAAUAAAAUUAAUCAUUCUCACUGAUUCUCUAAUCAACCCAGUCCUCAGAGGUGUAAAUUACGCUGGCAGAUCUAUAAUCAGGGAAGUUUUCCAAACCUAAAAACACCCCCAAGAACCCACUGAGUCUCUCAGCCUUGGCUGAGCUGAGCAAGGGCUGUCUAAACCGAAUGCAACACAAAACUGGGCAGCAGCAACCAUGCCUUGUAAAAGACAAUGGAAAAAAGACCACCCUGGAAAGGAGGGCUUCGAUUCAAGGUGGCGACAGCCCCUCUGGGCUGGCCUUUCCCCAACAACCCUGCCCAGAUGCUCUGGAUGUGCCUCCAAUCACUGGUUUGCAUGGAAAUCCCCUCAGGAUCCUACACCUCAGCAAGUGCAGGAGCACCUCAGGAAAGAUGCCAAUCCCUUGGGCCAGCAGACCUGUAGGAAGAAAAUAAACCUCAGCACCUGACUAGGAAUGAAACACAGAGCGUGGGGGUACGGCCGUCAACUGGUGCCAUCCUCUGCUAAAUGCAUCCCCGCUGGCAGCCUCGGUCCGGCUGUGGGAUGCAGGAGCACAUCAGCUUGACAGCUUUGGCGUGGCUUUGUCUUCUCACUGUUUCUGUGGUGGGAAACACCAGUGGUCCCUGGAGAAGUGAAGGUGGCUGCUGCGUGAUAGCGGCCAGCAGACGGCCUGUGUGAAACGGUUAUUCAUCCACCGACCUGGGUCUGCGAAUGACAUGGGGUCACUUCCUUUAUUCUCCCUGGAGGUGUGGAUUGAAAUAAUGGUACUCGUGCAUAAUGAGUAACGAAAAAGAGGAGAUGUCAGAAUUGAAGAGUAAUUUUUAAAAUGCAGCAUUGGAGCCUUUAGAGAAAACAAUGAAGCAAACCAGCAAAACCUGAGUUACAAGGGUAUUGCCUGUGCGACCUGGGGGCACAAAAAGAGUUCAGAUGGGGCCCAGCCUGCUGCUUUAUGUACCCACUAUUUUAUUAUAUAAAGUAAAAAUAAAAUGGAUUCCAGCAAAUAAUGGUAAAUAUUUGAUGAUGUAAUUAUGCCUUAUUAAUGCAAUGUUCUUUCUUUUGCAAAUUAAAUUUUCACAGGAAUUCAUCACCCAUUUCAUUUUUAUUAUUU